rnacentral:rRNA from 1 species
ACGAACGCUGGCGGCGUGCUUAACACAUGCAAGUCGAACGGAGGCUUGAGGGAGCUUGCUCCCGAUAGCUUUAGUGGCGGACGGGUGAGUAACGCGUGGGUAACCUGCCCUAGAGUGGGGGAUAACACCGCGAAAGUGGUGCUAAUACCGCAUGAAGCUAUUUGAUUGCAUAGUCGAAUAGCCAAAGGAGAAAUCCGCUCUGGGAUGGACCCGCGUCUGAUUAGCUAGUUGGUGGGGUAACGGCCUACCAAGGCGACGAUCAGUAGCCGGCCUGAGAGGGUGAACGGCCACACUGGGACUGAGACACGGCCCAGACUCCUACGGGAGGCAGCAGUGGGGAAUCUUCCGCAAUGGGCGAAAGCCUGACGGAGCAACGCCGCGUGAAUGAUGAAGGCCUUCGGGUUGUAAAAUUCUGUCUUCAGGGAAGAAAAAAAUGACGGUACCUGAGGAGGAAGCCCCGGCUAACUACGU